CCAUAUGCGCCCCCACAGCCCUGUUAGGGACAGGAGGAGAACUUCACCCUAACUUGAGCAAUGUCGAAGGCCCGAUUCUCUUUAGACUGGAAGGGAGGAAGGGCCCAGCAACGCCCAUAUGUAUGCCUACAGUCGCGUUAGAGAUAAGAGGAGGACCUCAUCCUAACCAGAGCUGAAACCUGUUACGACAGAAAUCGGGAAAGAAUCUCAUCCCGGC
rnacentral:lncRNA from 1 species